rnacentral:rRNA from 1 species
AUCGGUGACAGGUGGUGCAUGGUUGUCGUCAGCUCGUGUCGUGAGAUGUUGGGUUAAGUCCCGCAACGAGCGCAACCCCUAUUGUUAGUUGCCAUCAUUCAGUUGGGCACUCUAGCGAGACUGCCGGUAAUAAACCGGAGGAAGGUGGGGAUGACGUCAAAUCAUCAUGCCCCUUAUGACCUGGGCUACACACGUGCUACAAUGGUUGGUACAACGAGUUGCGAGUCGGUGACGGCGAGCUAAUCUCUUAAAGCCAAUCUCAGUUCGGAUUGUAGGCUGCAACUCGCCUACAUGAAGUCGGAAUCGCUAGUAAUCGCAGAUCAGCACGCCGCGGUGAAUACGUUCCCGGGCCUU